GACGAACGCUGGCGGCGUGCCUAAUACAUGCAAGUUGAGCGCUGAAGGUUGGUACUUGUACCAACUGGAUGAGCAGCGAACGGGUGAGUAACGCGUGGGGAAUCUGCCUUUGAGCGGGGGACAACAUUUGGAAACGAAUGCUAAUACCGCAUAAAAACUUUAAACACAAGUUUUAAGUUUGAAAGAUGCAAUUGCAUCACUCAAAGAUGAUCCCGCGUUGUAUUAGCUAGUUGGUGAGGUAAAGGCUCACCAAGGCGAUGAUACAUAGCCGACCUGAGAGGGUGAUCGGCCACAUUGGGACUGGGACACGGCCCAAACUCCUACGGGAGGCAGCAGUAGGGAGUCUUCGGCAAUGGACGAAAGUCUGACCGGGCAACGCCGCGUGAGUGAAGAAGGUUUUCGGAUCGUAAAACUCUGUUGGUAGAGAAGAACGUUGGUGAGAGUGGAAAGCUCAUCAAGUGACGGUAACUACCCAGAAAGGGACGGCUAACAACGUG
rnacentral:rRNA from 1 species